GCUGGGCGUGGUGGUGCAUGUCUGUAAUCCCAGCUACUCGGGAGGCUGAGGUGGGAGGAUUGCUUGAGCCUGGGAGAUCGAGGCUGCAGUGAGCCAUGAUCGUGCCACUGCACUCCAGCCUGGGUGAUGGAGCAAGAUCCUGUUUCAA
ensembl:misc_RNA Metazoa_SRP Metazoan signal recognition particle RNA